UACGGAGGGGACUAGCGUUGUUCGGAAUUACUGGGCGUAAAGCGCACGUAGGCGGAUUGGAAAGUAUGGGGUGAAAUCCCGGGGCUCAACCCCGGGAACUGCCUCAUAAACUAUCAGUCUAGAGUUCGAGAGAGGUGAGUGGAAUUCCGAGUGUAGAGGUGAAAUUCGUAGAUAUUCGGAGGAACACCAGUGGCGAAGGCGGCUCACUGGCUCGAUACUGACGCUGAGGUACGAAAGUGUGGGGAGCAAA
rnacentral:rRNA from 1 species